rnacentral:rRNA from 1 species
UACGUAGGGUGCAAGCGUUGUCCGGAAUUAUUGGGCGUAAAGAGCUCGUAGGCGGUCUGUCACGUCGGCUGUGAAAUCCCGAGGCUCAACCUCGGGUCUGCAGUCGAUACGGGCAAACUAGAGUAUUGCAGGGGAGACUGGAAUUCCUGGUGUAGCGGUGAAAUGCGCAGAUAUCAGGAAGAACACCCGUGGCUAAGGCGGCUCUCUAGUACGGUACUGACGCUGAGACGCGAAAGCGUGGGGAGCGAACAGG